rnacentral:rRNA from 1 species
CGGUAUCCUGACCGUGCAAGGUAGCACAAUCACUUGCCCCUUAAUUAGGGGCUAGUAUGAAUGGACAAACGAAAACUCAUCUGUCUCUAUCACAACCAUAAAAAUUAAUCUUUAAGUGAAAAAGCUUAAAUUCUAAUAAAAGACAAGAAGACCCUAUCGAGCUUAAUUUCUAGCUGACUAUAAAAUAUAUCCUAAUUUAAUCUCCUGCAACGAAAUUUAGUUGGGGCAACUAAGGAUUAUACAAAUCAUCCUCAAAAUAUUCGAUACACAAAUCCCAUUAACGACCCAAAACACGAUUAAAGAACAAAGCUACCGUAGGGAUAACAGACUUAAUUUCCCCAAAGAGCCCACAUUAAAGGGAGAAAUUGGCACCUCGAUGUUGGCUUAAAAUACCCACCAAGUGAAGAAG